rnacentral:rRNA from 1 species
UGGGGGGACCACCCUCCAAGCCUAAGUACUCGUGCAUGACCGAUAGCGAACCAGUACCGUGAGGGAAAGGUGAAAAGCACCCCGACAAGGGGAGUGAAAGAGAACCUGAAACCGAAUGCCUACAAACAGUGGGAGCCAUCAUUGGUGACCGCGUACCUUUUGUAUAAUGGGUCAGCGACUUAGUCUGGCGAGCGAGCUUAAGCCGAUAGGUGGAGGCGUAGCGAAAGCGAGUCUGAACAGGGCGUUCAGUUCGUCGGAUUAGACCCGAAACCGAGUGAUCUAGCCAUGAGCAGGCUGAAGGUGCGGUAACACGCACUGAAGGGCCGAACCCGCAUCUGUUGCAAUAGAUUGGGAUGACUUGUGGCUAGGGGUGAAAGGCCAAUCAAACUCGGAAAUAGCUGGUUCUCCGCGAAAUCUAUUUAGGUAGAGCGUCGGAUGAAUACUCCAGGGGGUAGAGCACUGGAUGGGCUAGGGGGACUCACCGUCUUACCAAACCCAAUCAAACUCCGAAUACCUGGAAGUACUAUCCGGCAGACACACGGCGGGUGCUAACGUCCGUCGUGAAGAGGGAAACAACCCUGACCGACAGCUAAGGUCCCCAAGUUAUGGCUAAGUGGGAAAGGAUGUGAGAAUCCCAAAACAACCAGGAUGUUGGCUUAGAAGCAGCCAUCAUUUAAAGAAAGCGUAACAGCUCACUGGUCUAGAUUUAAGGGUUCUUGCGCCGAAAAUGUAACGGGGCUCAAGCCAUACACCGAAGCUUCGGGUUUACGCCUCUGGCGUAAGCGGUAGCGGAGCGUUCCCUAGGCCGUUGAAGGAGGACCCGUGAGGGCCUCUGGAGGUAUGGGAAGUGCGAAUGCUGACAUGAGUAACGAUNAAGGGUGUGAGAGACACCCUCGCCGAAAGUCCAAGGGUUCCUGCUUAAAGUUAAUCUGAGCAGGGUGAGCCGGCCCCUAAGGCGAGUCAGAGAUGCGUAGCUGAUGGGAAGCAGUUAAUAUUCCUGCACCGUCGUUAGAUGCGAUGGGGGGACGGAUCGCGGAAGCUUGUCCGGGUGUUGGAUGUCCCGGUUACUGUGUCAUAGAAGGCUGUUAGGCAAAUCCGGCAGCGUAAUUCAAGGGUGUGAGACGAGCGAACUUGUUCGCGAAGCAAUCGGAAGUGGUUCCAAGAAAAGCCUCUAAGCUUCAGUCUAACGAGACCGUACCGCAAACCGACACAGGUGGGCGAGAUGAGUAUUCUAAGGCGCUUGAGAGAACUCGGGAGAAGGAACUCGGCAAAUUGGUACCGUAACUUCGGGAUAAGGUACGCCCUUGUAGUUUGACUGGCCUGCGCCAGAAGGACGAAAAGGUUGCAAUAAAAUGGUGGCUGCGACUGUUUAAUAAAAACACAGCACUCUGCAAACACGAAAGUGGACGUAUAGGGUGUGACGCCUGCCCGGUGCUGGAAGAUUAAAUGAUGGGGUGCAAGCUCUUGAUUGAAGUCCCAGUAAACGGCGGCCGUAACUAUAACGGUCCUAAGGUAGCGAAAUUCCUUGUCGGGUAAGUUCCGACCUGCACGAAUGGCGUAACGAUGGCCACACUGUCUCCUCCCGAGACUCAGCGAAGUUGAAAUGUUUGUGAUGAUGCAAUCUACCCGCGGCUAGACGGAAAGACCCCAUGAACCUUUACUGUAGCUUUGCAUUGGACUUUGAAUCAAUCUGUGUAGGAUAGGUGGGAGGCUUUGAAGUAGGGACGCCAGUUCCUAUGGAGCCAU